ensembl:snRNA U6 U6 spliceosomal RNA
GUUGUCACAUGGGCAGCACAUAUACUAUAAUGGAAAUGAUACAGAGAAGAUUAGAAUGCCCUCUGCAUUUGUGUUUUAUGAUUAUGAGUCAAUCCACUAAUAA